UUCCCGUCUCCCUCCACACCUUGCCUCCUCCAGGCCCAACCCCAUUCCACCAGCACCCCGCCCCAGGCGCACUGGCUAGGACUGGAAGGCAAGGACUAAGGUGAAAGCUGACUGCCCGCACCGCCCCAGGCGCACUGGGUAGGACUGAAAGGCAGGGACUAAGGUGACAGCUGACUCUGCCGGGGCGGAGUGCGUGUCCUCCCACCGUGCUGGCGCUGAACUGACUGUCCGCUGCCAAGGGAAGUGACAGCCGCAGCCGGGCUCUCAGCCAGCGGCCAGGCGCCCCGCGGACCAUGCUCUCCAGUACGCAGAACGCGGGCGGCUCCUAUCAGCGGGUCCGCGGGGCGCUUGAUACACAGAAAUGCAGUCCAGAGAAAAGUGCCUCAUUUUUCAGUAAAGUGACAUAUUCCUGGUUUAGCAGAGUAAUUACUUUAGGCUAUAAGAGACCUUUGGAAAGAGAGGAUCUUUUUGAACUAAAGGAAAGUGAUUCCUUCUGCACUGCGUGUCCCAUCUUUGAAAAACAAUGGAGAAAGGAAGUUUUAAGGAAUCAAGAGAGGCAAAAAGUAAAGGUAUCUUGUUAUAAAGAGGCACAUAUCAAGAAACCAUCUCUACUCUAUGCAUUGUGGAACACCUUUAAAUCCAUCCUGAUUCAAGUUGCCUUAUUCAAAGUGUUUGCUGAUAUUUUGUCCUUCACUAGCCCACUCAUAAUGAAGCAAAUUAUCAUUUUCUGUGAACACAGCUCAGAUUUUGGCUGGAAUGGCUAUGGCUAUGCAGUGGCACUUCUUGUUGUAGUCUUUUUGCAAACUCUGAUUCUUCAGCAAUAUCAACGUUUUAACAUGCUCACCUCAGCAAAAGUUAAGACAGCUGUAAAUGGACUGAUCUACAAAAAGGCCUUACUUUUAUCAAAUGUUUCUCGACAAAAGUUUUCCACUGGGGAAAUUAUUAACUUGAUGUCAGCAACUCAUGGACUUGACAGCAAACCUCAAUCUCCUCUGGUCUGCCCCUUUUCAAAUCCUAAUGGCCGUAUAUCUCCUUUGGCAAGAGCUGGGUCCAGCAGUGUUAGCAGGGGUGGCAGUCCUUGUGUUUGUUAUACCAAUAAAUGCUUUAGCUGCAACUAAAAUAAAAAAGUUAAAGGUAAGAAAAUGACUGCCUCAUGUUACAUGUGUCAAACAGGAGCUGAGUUUUCUGACUUGAGUUAACAAUCACCAUCUCGCUAAUUAUAUAGAGAGAGUUACAAAUGGAAGUCAUCGAAUUUUAUCAUUUACUUAUUCACUCAACCAGUAUUGAACAAGCAUGUAUCUUAUGUCAGCCAGUGUUUCAGGCACAGGAAGUACAGCAGUGAGGGGAAAUGACAAGUCCAGCUCUCAUGAGGGGUAGUGGAGGAGACAGGCAUUAAGCAAGUACAUAAAUAGAGAGAAAACAUUUGUAUAUGAAAAAGAUUUAGUAAAAUACAGUGAUGAAGAGACAAAGGAUGCCAUUUUACAUUUAGGAUCAGGAAAGUCCUCAGAAAGGGAAUGGUAUAUCAACAGGGUGAAGGAGUAAUUCAAGUGGACAUCUGAGGGAAAGACACACCAAGCAAAGGGAAGAGUAUGCAUGCAGCCUGGAGGUAGGGGUAUGCUUGGUUGUUUGAAAAGUGAAGUACUGCAGCAAGCAGACAGGAAAUGCUUCACUAAAUUAAUGUUGAUAUUCUUCCUUUAUAUUCAGUCAUUCAUCUUACCAUCAAUAUAUGUUUUGACAUCCCGCCAUGUGUUAGACAGUGUGCACUAUGCUAUACUCUAAGAAAUGGAGAAACCACAGAGUUCACUGCAUUGAAGGAAAUCACACUGCAAUGAGAUAGAUGCUUUCAUAUGUUAAAUUAACAGAGGUGGAUGUAUUGCUUAUGAAAACAUUUUAUAAUUUUAAAUGGAUCAAAGAUUAACAAUAUAUAUUGACAUGGAAACAUGUCAAUCAUAUUUUAAAGCAAAAAGGAGAUUAAAUAUAUGCAUGUAUAUCAUACAUAUGUGUAGCUAUAUCAUUGAUCCAUUAUUAAAAUGUGAAUAUACCUAUACACAUGUGUGUAAUGGAGAGGUAAAUAGAUGAAGAUACAUAGCUAUAAAUAUAUUUGCAUAAGCAUAGAAGUAAUCUAGAGAUAAAGCAUCAGUCUUUAAAGAAUAGUUACCUGUAAAGUAGAAUUAGACAGAAGGAGGAUAGAUUUUUACUUCUGACUUUAAUACCCCAAGUGACUAAAAAUUGUAUAGUAUUUUAUAUUUUUCUUAAUUUUUCAAAUAAAAGAUGACUGGUUUUUAAACAUAAAAACUAGAAAAUAGCAUAUAUUUAUGAAGUAAAGGUACUUAGCAUGCUAGUGUUUAGAAUAACAGAUUUGUUUAUAACAAAUAUUUUUAACUAGUUUUAAAAAAUAUAUUCUGGAUUUUAAAAACUGCUAUUUAAAGGCACAUUAUUAAGAAUGGAAAAAUAUUUUUUGAACCUUAAUCUAGAGUCCUAUAACCUUCAAAGAUAUUUCAAUAUUAUAUCCAAAUAUACUAAAUAAAAAAUAUGACUUUAGGCCCGGCGCAGUGGCUCAUGCCUGUAAUCCCAGCACUUUGGGAGGCCGAGGCGGGCAGAUGACCUAAGGUCGGGAGUUCGAGACUAAACUGACCAACAUGGAGAAACCCCGUCUCUACUAAAAUAUAAGAUUAGCCGGGCAUGGUGGCACGUGCCUGUAAUCUCAGCUACUCAGGAGGAUGAGGCAGGAGAAUCACUUGAACCUGUAAGGCGGAGGUUGCAGUGAGCCGAGUUCAUGCAAUUGCACUCCAGCCUGGGCAACAAGAACAAAACUCCGUCUCAAAAAAAAAAAAAAAAA